GGAAGUAGGGGAUUUCCAGAUCUAAACAAUGUCUAUUCAAAAACAAUUUCUCAAGAAAUGGGUAUGGGAGGGGUAUAAGGAAAGAGUCUGGUGCAGGUGCAGCAACUCUGAUUGGCCCCGGCUGUGGUUGCUGGGGAGAUUUCCCAACUCUUCCCCAGCAACCAAUAUUACAAACACCUGGCAGUGGGCUUCAUCAGUGGGCACACACAUGGGUUCAAGGAAUGGUCAGAACAUUGUCAGACACACGGUGACUUAGGGUUUUACUGCUGUGAACAGACACCAUGACCAAGGCAAGUCGUAUAAAAAAACAAUAUUUAAUUGGGGCUGGCUUACAGGUUCAGAGGUUCAGUCCAUUUAUCAUCAAGGUGGGAGCAUGGCAGUAUCCAGUCAAGCAUGGUGCAGGCAGAGCUGAGAGUUCUACAUCUUCAUCCAAAGGCUGCUAGUGGAAGACUGACUUCCAGGCAACUGGGGUGAGAGUCUUAAGCCCACACCCACAGUGACACACCUACUUCAACCAGGUCACACCUAUUCCAACAAGGCCACACCUCCAAAUGGUGCCACCUCCAUUGGUCCAAGAAUAUACAAACCAUCACAUUCCACUCCCUGGCCCUCAUAGACUUGUUCAAAAACAUGAGUCUAUGGGGACCAUACUUAAACAUAGCAUAAUGCAAAUGCAUUCAGUCCAACUUUCAAAGUCCUCAUAGUCUAUAGCAGUCUCAACAGUGUUAAAAGUACAAAGUUCAAGGGCUCUUCUGAGAUUCAUCCAACUAAUUAACUGUAAUCUUCAAAGCAAGGCAGGAAACCAGCUGGGCAAACUCCAAACUCUGCAUCUCCAUGGCUGAUGUCAAAGCAGUCUUCAGAUCUCCCUUCCUUUUUCAUCUUUGUUGAUUGCAACAAACUGCUUUCUCCUGGGCUGGUUCCACUCCCUGUUCGCAGCUUUCCUCAGCAUGUAUCCCAUGGCUCUAGCAUCUUUAACAUCUUUGAGUCUCCAAGGCAAUUUCAAUGUUACAGCUUCUUGUUCCAGUGUCUGGGAUUCCACUUCAUCUUUUGGACUCCUCCUAAGGGCUGCUGGCAUCAAAUCUUCAGCUCUGCCCUCUGUAGCACUCUAAACUCAGGUUGAUCCAUUCCACUACAGCUGUUCUUCAUGACACCUUCAUGCCUUCAAAACCAGUACCACCUGGGUGGCUCUUACACAUUACCAAGUUCAGCUGCAGCACAAGGUACAACCUUGGCUAUCUCUGGAAGACAGCUUCUUUGUGCUCCCAGAAAACAACUCCCAGAUUUCAACUCAGUGAUGCUGGUCUCUUCUUAAUCACUGCUAGUUUCUUAGACCCAGCUAACCAGCAUCAAUUUUCCCAGUAGUUCCUUCCAUUCCUAACUCUAGAGCCAAUGGCUGAAGCUGCCGAGUUCUGCUGCUUACAGGAACUAGAACAUGAUCCCCUUGUACUAGUACAUUAUGACUGGCUUUAUGUUUUCCAAAUCCUUCACUGCCUAAGCUUGGCUAUCCUAGUUCUUGCUCUGUAGAUUGACCUUGAAUGCCUGUCUCAUGGGGUUAAAGGUGUGUACCACCAUGCCUGGAUCUAAAUUCAGCUGGGUAGAAUCUUGUCCCAUGGUCCCACUCCCUUAAUCUGUUAUUCCCUAGAACAUAGGAUUUUGCUCCAUUUCACUUCCUGGUAUGCCUUUAAUACUCAAACCAUAUAUUUUGCCUUUCUAAGCUUGCUAUGCUUGUUCAAACUUCUCUUUGUGAGACUUAACCAGAGAACAAAGUCUCUGCUGGGCUUUUUUGAAACUUCCUUUGUCAGUGCAAUUAAUGCAAUUAAUCCAAGUCUCUUCACCUUACCGUCAGGCAGACUUUUCAGACAAGGGCAAAAAAGUAGCCCAAAAUACCAAAAUACCAAAAUACCAGGAAAACAGUCUAUGUCACAUACUGAAAUUCUCCUUUGAAAUCUCUUGGGCCAAGUCAACACAGUUCAAAUUACUCCCAGCAACAAAGUCUUCCAUAUUCCUACUAGAAUGACCCAUUAAGCCCCAUUUAAAGCAUUCCACUGAGUUCCAAAUCCAUGUCCAAAAAUCCACAUUUUUUUCAAAUAAAAGCAUGGUCAGGUUUAUCACAGCAAUACCCAAGUCCCUGGUACCAACUUCUGACUUAGGGUUUUACUGCUGUGAACAGACCCCAUGACCAAGGCAAGUCUUAUUAAAAAAAAAACAAAACAACAACAACAUUUAAUUGGGGCUGGCUUACACGUUCAGAGGUUCAGUCCAUUAUCAUCAAGGUGGGAGCAUGGCAGUAUCCAGUCAAGCAUGGUGCAGGCAGAGCUGAGAGUUCUACAUCUUCAUCCAAAGGCAGCUAGUGGAAGACUAACUUCCAGGCAACUGGGGUGAGAGUCUUCACAGUGACACACCUACUCCAACCAGGUCACACCUAUUCCAACAAGGCCACACCUCCAAAUGGUGCCACCUCCAUUGGUCCAAGAAUAUAUAAACCAUCACACACGGGUUCAAGGAGUGGCUAGAGCAUUAUGCACCUCUAUUUUUCUAAAUCAGUGAAGCUAGUUCUGCUAACAAUGAAAUCUAUUUUGCCAAUUUCAGGGCUUCUGUGACCUUUUACAUUCUGUCAGGAUCUUUCAUUCCCCGCUUCUUCUAGUUACUAGUUCUAAUCUUAGAACUAAACUGCAAUCUCUUCUUCAAGGUUCUGCAGAGACUGGUAUUGUUGUCUUAGUACUAACAGCUGGACAGCACCAAUCCUUUCUCUAACAAAGGUCACCAAUUUGUUAAGAAUUAGUGGGCCACAUGUCAGCAGUAAGAGCAAAAUUAUUAGAGGGCCCAUCAGAGUAGAGAUGAGGGUGGUCAACCAAGGAGAUUUAUUCUUCAGGAGCUCGCUUUACGUGAGAGGCAUGAAUCUAAGCAGAGAUGCCUUCUACUUUGACAGCAGUGGGGGUGGUCAGCAGCACGAUGUAAGGGCCUUUCCAAUGAGGUUCUAGAUUCCCAGCUCGGUGUCGUCAGAUGAGAACUGCGUCUCCCACCUGGAACUGGUAUGGUACCAUUAAUUCUGGUUCGUAGGCCUCGAACUGCUCCCAGGUGGUGUUUCUGACCACUUCUAGGGCUUUCAUGCGUGUAAACAGUGGAGGACCAGGGUUAAAUUCUAGAGGAUCUAACACUCUCCCCACUUCAUUGAGUGGGAGAGGCCCCCCCGUACAGGAUUUCAUAUGGAGUGAGCUUAAAUUUUCCCAGUGUGUUCCUGAUGGGGAACAAGGCAAAGGGAAAGAGAGCUGUCCAGUUAUUCCCGCCGGUCUCUAAGGUCAAUUUAGUCAAGGUCUCUCUUAGAGUUCUAUUCAUCCUUUCUACCUGUCCUGAACUCUGGGGUCUAUAAGCACAAUUUAAUUUCCAAUCAAUCCCCAGUUGGAUGGCCAGUUCCUGGCUUACCUGUGCAACAAAGGCGGGUCCAUUGUCAGACCCUAUUACCUUAGGUAUUCUGAACCGUGGAAAAAUUUCUUCUAGGAUCUUCUUAACCACAACAUUGGCAGUUUCUUUUUUCGUUGGGUUGGCCUCCACCCAUCCUGAAAAGGUAUCUAUAAGAACUGCUAUUUGUGUAGAUGUUGAUGGGCCUAACAGCCUUCUGAAGGGCCUUCUACUAGGAAGCUGCUUCUGUGUACCAGUUUGGAACGCCUGGCCACGGCUGGUCGCGUAGAUCACUAUGGAUCCCAGUUUCUUCCGCAAGGAUGUCUGCACAGCAGUGAACGGGUGAGGAAUUGUCCAUUUCAGGCCGGAGGGUAGCAGGAUUAAGGAUAGCAGGAGGAGCAAACACGACCCAUUCAGUCAGCAACAGACUCUAGUAGUGGGUCAUUCAGGCGUUUGUCACGCAUUGGUCUGUGGGCUGGCAGAUAAUGCUUCAAGAGAGUGGGAGGCUACCACAGUUAUUUGUUGUCUCAAAGUUAACUUGUCGGCAUAUUUAACGAGUAAGGCUACUGCAGCAAUGGCCUUUAAACAUGUGGGCCAUCCGCUGGCCACUGGGUCCAGCUUCUUAGACAAAUAUGCCACGGGCCUCUUCCACGACCCUAGAGCCUGAGUAAGAACUCCUCUGGCCACCCCUGCCCUCUUAUCAACAUAGAGGAUGAAGGGUUUGGUUAGAUCUGGCACAGUCAACAGUGCCUCUUUAAUAUUUUCAAAGCCUCUCAGAUAUUCUGAUGUCCAUCUGAAUUCUCCACUUUCCUUGGUCAGGGGGUACAAGGGGCAGCCAGUGUUGCAAACCCAGGUAUCCAAAGUCUGCAGAACCCAGUGGUGCCCAAGAUUCUUUUACCUGUCUUAGAGUAGCCUGUGCCGUUAUUUGAGUCACAGUCCUUUUUCUUUGCAAUAGGCACAUUGGUCCUUCUCUAAAGUCUUCUGGAGCCAGGCGUGGUGGUGCACGCCUUUAAUCCCAGCACUCGGGAGGCAGAGGCAGGCGGAUUUCUGAGUUCGAGGCCAGCCUGGUUUACAAAGUGAGUUCUAGGACAGCCAGGGCUACACAGAGAAGCCCUGUCUCGAAAAACAAAACAAAAAAACCAAACAAAAAACCCCAAAACAAAAACAAAACAAAACAAAACAAAACAAAAAACCAAACAACAAAACCAAAAGAAAAGAAAAGAAAACAAAAAAACAAAACAGUCUUCUGGACGGAUCUUCUUCCUCCAGGUCUAGGUUCCCUGUUGCCCAGGUACGCUGUCUGUCUAUUCUCAGGCCUGUGCUCUCCUACUACUGCGACCAAUAUCCUGCUUAAGUUCCUCUCCUGUCUUCUAUCCCUUUUAUUCUCCCUCUCUUCUUCUUUGCGCUUUUCCCUCUCUUUCUUCUAUUCCUCUGUCUCUCUCUUGUGAUACACCUUUUCUGCCUCCUUGACUAAAUCUUGUAAAACCAUGGCAUGUAAUCCUUCUAGUCUCUGUAACUUUCUCUUAAUAUCUGAUGCUGAUUGCCCUAUAAAAGCCAUAGCAACCAUGGCUUGUUGACCCUCAGAGGUCGGGUCAAAAGGAGUAUAGCGCCUAUAAGCUUCCAUCAAUCUUUCCAGAAAAAUAGACAGGGGCUCGGUAGGGCCCUGCAUCACCUCUUACCUUAGCCAAAUUGGUGGGGCAUCUCGUGCUCCCUUUAAACCCGCGACCAGAGCCCAGCGGUAAACUGCCAACUUCUCACUACCUUGAGCCAUGUUGUAGUUCCAAUCUGGCUGGUUCAGAAGGAACCCAGCAUUAAUCUCAUUAGGUAGGUUGGUUGAGACCCUAUUCACUCUGGGAACAUUUUUCCAAGCCUCCAGGAGAAUGUGCUCUUUAACUUCAGUGGUAAACAGAACCUGGAGGAGCUGCUGACAAUCAUCUCAAGUGGGUUAUUAAGAAAACAUAAGAGACUCUAUCAGCCCAGUCAGGCUGGCCAGAUUCUCGGAAAAGGAGGCAUGGUUAGCUUUGCAAUUUUACAAAUCAGCCGAUGAAAAAGGCCAAUAUUGUAGGGUCUGCAGAGAUAGUGGGUCCAUGGGCAGGUCGCCCACAGCUCACCAAGGAAAAGCAGAAGUGGUGUCAGGAGCUCCAUCUGCUGGGGGACUCUGGGCUCCAGGUCCCGGCCGCUGGUCCUCCAGCUGGGCCACCAGCGGUCCCAAGGCCGGGUGCAGAGACCUGUGCAGGAAUGGGACCCAGUGGGGGUAGAAGAUAGGGCAGAUGGGGAGGAGAUUCUGGCCACUCAGGAGGCCCCUCAAUAUUAGGAUAGAUCUUGGGGGGAACUGUGGGUUGAAGAGGAGGCUCCAUUUCAGGUGGAAUCUUUGGUUUUGCUCUUGUUUCAUGAAGAGUCAGGGCUCAGGAGCCUGACCUACGCUGGGGAAUCCAUGGUUUGAUCCAUGAUGUUGGAUUCUGGACAAGGUCCUGCCAGACAGUAAUAUAAGGCUGUUGAUCCGGGUGGGACCCAGGUCCACUCUGAAAAACAAUGGCUUUAACUUCAAAGAUAAGAGUCAAAUUAAAAGUCCCCUCUGGUGGCUAUCCUACAUCAAAAGCCGGCCACUAGGAGGUGCAAAAAUCUACCAAGGUCCUUUCUUAAUUUCUACUGAAAGAUUAUGGGCCCUUGACCUAACUUCAGUCCAGUGGUCUAAGGUCAAACUUAGGGGGGGCUUGUUACAGUCUGUCCCAUUGUCCAAAUCACAGAAAACACAAAAUAGACACAAAACACACACACACACACACACACACACACACACAGACACACACACACUGACAAAUGCCCCAAACAGACACAAACACACACACACACACUGACAAAUGCCCAUCUUCUAAUGGACAGACAAAACCAACUCAGAAAUGCAAAAGGUCAGGAAAGUACGUAAGUCCUCCAAUCUAGGAAGACUACCGACUCUUCACUCCCCACUCCAGAUGGACUCCUGGAGUCCUUCCCCUCGCUCCGGGGCAUCCCCCAGGAGUGGCAGCCGGUGAUUCCAGCACAUCUGCUGUUCGCACUCCAUGCCUCACCCCGAGGCGCGGGUCUCCAUUUCUCAUGAAACAUCACGGCUGCAAAUUUCAGCACCGAACAUCGCCGGCUCACAGAAAUAUUUUUAGACAACAAAUCUCACCUCCAAGUGGGUCUUCGGAGAUGUGGGUGGUCGCGCCAAUCCUGGGACAAGCCCCCAAUGAAAGACCCCCAAAGGGAGACCCUCAUUCAAGUCUCGGGAUAAUAGUGGACCCCCAAGAACUCACGAGAGUCCAAACUUGAUGCAAACCACACGAGGCUUUAUUUGGGGAAAGCCAGAGCUCUGGGGACGACUCGUAUCUCAUGCAGGGGUAGAGGAGUUGAUCCCGAGGGGAAAGGGGUCCCAGUUUUUAUAGGCCCUCGGGGGGGAAAGGAGAAGGGGGAAGUAGGGGAUUUCCAGAUCUAAACAAUGUCUAUUCUAAAGUGAUUUCUCAAGAAAUGGGUAUGGGAGGGGUAUAAGGAAAGAGUCUGGUGCAGGUGCAGCAAAUCCGAUUGGCCCCGGCUGUGGUUGCUGGGGAGAUUUUCCAACUCUUCCCCAGCAACCAAUAUUACAAACACCUGGCAGUGGGCUUCAUCAGUGGGCACACACAUGGGUUCAAGGAAUGGUCAGAACAUUGGCAGACACACAGUGACUUAGUUAGGGUUUUACUGCUGUGAACAGACACCAUGACCAAGGCAAGUCGUAUAAAAAAACAAUAUUUAAUUGGGGCUGGCUUACAGGUUCAGAGGUUCAGUCCAUUUAUCAUCAAGGUGGGAGCAUGGCAGUAUCUAGUCAAGCAUGGUGCAGGCAGAGCUGAGAGUUCUACAUCUUCAUCCAAAGGCUGCUAGUGGAAGACUGACUUCCAGGCAACUGGGGUGAGAGUCUUAAGCUCACACCCACAGUGACACACCUACUCCAACCAGGUCACACCUAUUCCAACAAGGCCACACCUCCAAAUGGUGCCCCUUAACAGAGGAAUGGAUACAAAAAAAUGUGGUACAUUUACACAAUGGAGUACUACUCAGCUAUUAAAAGGAAUGAAUUUAUGAAAUUCCUAGGCAAAUGGAUGGACCUGGAGGGCAUCAUCCUGAGUGAGGUAACACAUUCACAAAGGAACUUACACAAUAUGUACUCACUGAUAAGUGGAUAUUAGCCCAAAACCUAGGAUACCCAAGAUAUAAGAUACAAUUUGCUAAACACAUGAAACUCAAGAAGAAAGAAGACUGAAGUGUGGACACUAUGCCCCUCCUUAGAAUUGGGAACAAAACACCCAUGGAAGGAGUUACAGAGACAAAGUUUGGAGCUGAGACGAAAGGAUGGACCAUCUAGAGACUGCCAUAUCCAGGGAUCCACCCCAUAAUCAGCUUCCAAACGCUGACACCAUUGCAUACACUAGCAAGAUUUUAUCGAAAGAACCCAGAUGUAGCUGCCUCUUGUGAGACUAUGCCGGGUUCUAGAAAACACAGAAGUGGAUGCUCACAGUCAGCUAUUGGAUGGAUCACAGGGCUCCCAAUGGAGGAGCUAGAGAAAGUACCCAAGGAGCUAAAGGGAUCUGCAACCCUAUAGGUGGAACAAUAUUAUGAACUAACCAGUACCCCGGAGGUCUUGACUCUAGCUGCAUAUGUAUCAAAAGAUGGCCUAGUCAGCCAUCACUGGAAAGAGAGGCCCAUUGGACAUGCAAACUGUAUAUGCCCCAGUACAGGGGAACACCAGGGCCAAAAAAAUGGGAAUGGGUGUGUAGGGAAGUGGGGGGGGGUAUGGGGGACUUUUGGGAUGGCAUUGGAAAUGUAAUUGAGGAAAAUAUGUAAUAAAAAAU
rnacentral:lncRNA from 1 species